AAUGAACGUUGGCGGCGUGGAUUAGGCAUGCAAGUCGAGCGCGAACCCCGCAAGGGGGGAGAGCGGCAAACGGGGUAGUAACGGGUAGGUGACGUACCCUCGGGUUGGGGAUAGCCACGGGAAACUGUGGGUAAUACCCAAUAAUCUCCUGGAGCUUGAAGGCUUCGGGAGCAAAGGUGUGAUUCCACCGGGGGAGCGGCCUGCUUCGUAUUAGCUAGUUGGUGAGGUAACGGCUCACCAAGGCUUCGAUGCGUAGGGGGUGUGAGAGCAUGACCCCCACCACUGGGACUGAGAUACUGCCCAGACACCUACGGGUGGCUGCAGUCGAGAAUCUUCGGCAAUGGGCGCAAGCCUGACCGAGCGACGCCGCGUGUGGGAUGAAGGCCCUUGGGUUGUAAACCACUGUCAGAGGGGAUGAAGUGCCAGAGAGCAAUCUCUCUGGUUUGACAUAGCCUCAGAGGAAGCACGGGCUAAGUUCGUGCCAGCCGCCGCAGUAAUAC
rnacentral:rRNA from 1 species